rnacentral:rRNA from 1 species
GUUAAGCGACUAAGCGUACACGGUGGAUGCCCUGGCAGUCAGAGGCGAUGAAGGACGUGCUAAUCUGCGAUAAGCGUCGGUAAGGUGAUAUGAACCGUUAUAACCGGCGAUUUCCGAAUGGGGAAACCCAGUGUGUUUCGACACACUAUCAUUAACUGAAUCCAUAGGUUAAUGAGGCGAACCGGGGGAACUGAAACAUCUAAGUACCCCGAGGAAAAGAAAUCAACCGAGAUUCCCCCAGUAGCGGCGAGCGAACGGGGAGGAGCCCAGAGCCUGAAUCAGUGUGUGUGUUAGUGGAAGCGUCUGGAAAGGCGCGCGAUACAGGGUGACAGCCCCGUACACAAAAAUGCACAUGCUGUGAGCUCGAUGAGUAGGGCGGGACACGUGGUAUCCUGUCUGAAUAUGGGGGGACCAUCCUCCAAGGCUAAAUACUCCUGACUGACCGAUAGUGAACCAGUACCGUGAGGGAAAGGCGAAAAGAACCCCGGCGAGGGGAGUGAAAAAGAACCUGAAACCGUGUACGUACAAGCAGUGGGAGCACGCUUAGGCGUGUGACUGCGUACCUUUUGUAUAAUGGGUCAGCGACUUAUAUUCUGUAGCAAGGUUAACCGAAUAGGGGAGCCGAAGGGAAACCGAGUCUUAACUGGGCGUUAAGUUGCAGGGUAUAGACCCGAAACCCGGUGAUCUAGCCAUGGGCAGGUUGAAGGUUGGGUAACACUAACUGGAGGACCGAACCGACUAAUGUUGAAAAAUUAGCGGAUGACUUGUGGCUGGGGGUGAAAGGCCAAUCAAACCGGGAGAUAGCUGGUUCUCCCCGAAAGCUAUUUAGGUAGCGCCUCGUGAAUUCAUCUCCGGGGGUAGAGCACUGUUUCGGCAAGGGGGUCAUCCCGACUUACCAACCCGAUGCAAACUGCGAAUACCGGAGAAUGUUAUCACGGGAGACACACGGCGGGUGCUAACGUCCGUCGUGAAGAGGGAAACAACCCAGACCGCCAGCUAAGGUCCCAAAGUCAUGGUUAAGUGGGAAACGAUGUGGGAAGGCCCAGACAGCCAGGAUGUUGGCUUAGAAGCAGCCAUCAUUUAAAGAAAGCGUAAUAGCUCACUGGUCGAGUCGGCCUGCGCGGAAGAUGUAACGGGGCUAAACCAUGCACCGAAGCUGCGGCAGCGACGCUUAUGCGUUGUUGGGUAGGGGAGCGUUCUGUAAGCCUGUGAAGGUGUGCUGUGAGGCAUGCUGGAGGUAUCAGAAGUGCGAAUGCUGACAUAAGUAACGAUAAAGCGGGUGAAAAGCCCGCUCGCCGGAAGACCAAGGGUUCCUGUCCAACGUUAAUCGGGGCAGGGUGAGUCGACCCCUAAGGCGAGGCCGAAAGGCGUAGUCGAUGGGAAACAGGUUAAUAUUCCUGUACUUGGUGUUACUGCGAAGGGGGGACGGAGAAGGCUAUGUUGGCCGGGCGACGGUUGUCCCGGUUUAAGCGUGUAGGCUGGUUUUCCAGGCAAAUCCGGAAAAUCAAGGCUGAGGCGUGAUGACGAGGCACUACGGUGCUGAAGCAACAAAUGCCCUGCUUCCAGGAAAAGCCUCUAAGCAUCAGGUAACAUCAAAUCGUACCCCAAACCGACACAGGUGGUCAGGUAGAGAAUACCAAGGCGCUUGAGAGAACUCGGGUGAAGGAACUAGGCAAAAUGGUGCCGUAACUUCGGGAGAAGGCACGCUGAUAUGUAGGUGAAGUCCCUCGCGGAUGGAGCUGAAAUCAGUCGAAGAUACCAGCUGGCUGCAACUGUUUAUUAAAAACACAGCACUGUGCAAACACGAAAGUGGACGUAUACGGUGUGACGCCUGCCCGGUGCCGGAAGGUUAAUUGAUGGGGUCAGCGCAAGCGAAGCUCUUGAUCGAAGCCCCGGUAAACGGCGGCCGUAACUAUAACGGUCCUAAGGUAGCGAAAUUCCUUGUCGGGUAAGUUCCGACCUGCACGAAUGGCGUAAUGAUGGCCAGGCUGUCUCCACCCGAGACUCAGUGAAAUUGAACUCGCUGUGAAGAUGCAGUGUACCCGCGGCAAGACGGAAAGACCCCGUGAACCUUUACUAUAGCUUGACACUGAACAUUGAGCCUUGAUGUGUAGGAUAGGUGGGAGGCUUUGAAGUGUGGACGCCAGUCUGCAUGGAGCCGACCUUGAAAUACCACCCUUUAAUGUUUGAUGUUCUAACGUUGACCCGUAAUCCGGGUUGCGGACAGUGUCUGGUGGGUAGUUUGACUGGGGCGGUCUCCUCCUAAAGAGUAACGGAGGAGCACGAAGGUUGGCUAAUCCUGGUCGGACAUCAGGAGGUUAGUGCAAUGGCAUAAGCCAGCUUGACUGCGAGCGUGACGGCGCGAGCAGGUGCGAAAGCAGGUCAUAGUGAUCCGGUGGUUCUGAAUGGAAGGGCCAUCGCUCAACGGAUAAAAGGUACUCCGGGGAUAACAGGCUGAUACCGCCCAAGAGUUCAUAUCGACGGCGGUGUUUGGCACCUCGAUGUCGGCUCAUCACAUCCUGGGGCUGAAGUAGGUCCCAAGGGUAUGGCUGUUCGCCAUUUAAAGUGGUACGCGAGCUGGGUUUAGAACGUCGUGAGACAGUUCGGUCCCUAUCUGCCGUGGGCGCUGGAGAACUGAGGGGGGCUGCUCCUAGUACGA